rnacentral:rRNA from 1 species
ACUCCUACGGGAGGCAGCAGUGGGUAAUAUUGGACAAUGGGCGCAAGCCUGAUCCAGCAAUGCCGCGUGUGUGAAGAAGGCCUUCGGGUUGUAAAGCACUUUUAUCAGGAGGGAAAUAAUGCGGGUUAAUACCCGCGGGCUGACGUAC